AUGAAAUUAAACCCAACGAAAACAUCGAAAGUGAACGGCGGGGGUCCCGGCCCCAAAACGACCCCGCUGUGUCCAUCCGCACCCACCGAUGUCCGUCCGGUAGCGGUGAAAGGCAGAGAAUGGGCCGAGCGGAUCCCGAAAUACAUUCGUUACAUCCGGCGGGGUUUGGAGGCAGAAAGUGUGGUGUGGGGGGGUGGGGGGCUGGGGGGCUCUGCCCGAGCGUGUGCCCGUGGGGCUGUGGGGGGGCUGUGGGGGGCUGUGGGGGGAGGUGCUGCCCGGCCCUGCCGGCCCCAUCGAGAGCUGCCCUGCCCUGCUGGCACUGCGUGCACUGCAGUGCUGUGCUGUGCUGCAUCGCCCCAUUGCAUCGCCCCACCGCCCUGCAGCAUCGCCCCAUUGCUCUGCUGCAUCGCCCCAUUGCAUCGCCCCACUGCCCUGCAGCAUCGCCCCAUUGCAUCGCCCCUUUGCUCUGCUGCAACCCCCCAUUGCAUCGCCCCACUGCCCUACAGCAUCACCCUAUUGCUCUGCUGCAAUCCCCCAUUGCAUUGCCCCACUGCCCUGCAGCAUCGCCCCAUUGCAUCGCCUCUUUGCUCUACUGCAGUCCCCCAUUGCAUCGCCCCACUGCCCUGCAGCAUCACUCCACCGCAUCACCCCACUGCAUUGCCCCUUUGCCCUGCAGCAUCACCCCAUUGCCCUGCUGCAAUCCCCCACUGCGUUAUCCCACUGCCCUGCAGCAUCUCCCCAUUGCAUCGCCCCAUUGCCCUGCAACAUCACCACACUGCAUUGCCCCAUCGCCCCACUGCAUCGCCCCACUGUCCUGCAGCACCGUCCCAUUGCAUCGCCCCACUGCCCUGCAGCAUCACCCCAUCACCCUGCUGCAGCCCCCACUGCAUCGCCCCACUGCCCUGCAGCAUCACCCCAUUGUCUUGCAGCUCUGCCCCAUUGCCCUGCAGCAUCACCCCACUGCCCCGCUGCAACCCCCCAUUGCACGGCCCCACUGCCCUGCUGCAGCCCCCUUUGCAUCGCCCCAUUGCAGCGCCUCAUCGCCCUGCAGCGACCCUCCUUUGCAUCACCCCACAGCCCUGCAGCACUGCUCUGUUGCGCUGCACCCCCCCCCCAUUGCAACACCCCAUUGCCCCACUGCAUGGCCCCACUGCAUGGCCCCCCUGCCCUGCUGCAGCUGCGACCCCCGGGGCACUGCCUGCCCCACUGCGUGGCCCUUUGCAGCCCAAAAGACACAACCCAAACUCAGCCUCUGCGCCCCCCCCCCCCCCCACCCAUUUACUCCCCACCCCCAAUGCCAGCGCUGCCCUCCGUGUGGGGCCGGGCAGAUUUGGCAGUGAAUGGAUGGUGGCACAGGAGGGGCCGGGGGUGUUAAAAGGGUCGGGGGGGGGGGGGGGGUCACAGAGCCGUGGGUCAGGCAGUGAGUUGCACCCCGCAGGCGCUCCCCGCCUUUUUGGGGCCAAUGGGUGAAGACCUUUGGGGUACGGAGCACCCCUGGGUGCUGACUCUGGGGGGGGGCACAGAGCACAGAGCCCCCCCCAGGAGGAACUGUGUGUGCCCCCCAUCCAUCACCCCAUGGGGCUGUGGGGGGGGGGGGGCGGCGGAGCCCUUUUUUCCUGCAGGAGGGGAGCGGGGAUGGGGGCACCGCGAGGGCGGGGGGGCGAUGGGGGUGUGUGUGUGUGGGGGGGGGGGGGGGGGGUCCUGUUAAACCCGCUGGGAGCCCUAAAGCGAUACACGGCGCGGGGGGGGGAUGGGGGGUGUCAGAAGAGGAAGGCUUUCUUCUUCAGCUCAUUGCGCUUCCACAGCGCCAGCUUGCCGAACUCCUCGGGGGCAUUUCGAACACCCGCAGGAAAUCCUCCCUGGAGAGGUGCCGCUGGGGGGGGGGGGCCACAACAAUCAGAGGGUGCUGCGACCCCCCCACGUCCCACUGACCCCAAACCCCCCCACGUCCCACUGACCCCAAACCCCCCCCACAUCCCACUGACCCAACCCCCCCCCCCCAUCCCACUGACCCCCCCCACAUCCCACUGACCCCAAACCCCCCCCCAUCCCACUGACCCCAACCCCCCCCCACUGACCCCAAAUCUCCCCCCCCACGUCCCACUGACCCCAAACCCCCCCACAUCCCACUGACCCCAAACCCCCCCCCAUCCCACUGACCCCAACCCCCCC
rnacentral:lncRNA from 7 species